UGAGCGCGUGUCCUUGCUGGCUGUCAUGGGUUUCCUCAGAUUCAUCCAUAACCCAAAUAAACGCUAAUCAGAUGAUGUUAAUGGAUAUGUUAACCAUAACACAGUGGGAGAAUGUGUUUGUGUGCUCUAAUGGACGGACCGGGCGUCUGUUUUAGCACUACAGCGCGAACCCGGAGAACAAUAAGUUACAGAGAACUGAUGGAUGGAUCAACAAAAAAAUAAUGAAAAUAUAAUUGCUUAAUAUUUGUCAGUACAUAAUUAUAGACUGUAAAUAAUAGUACAUAAUCUACGAAUGUCAGUCAAUGGUAAUGUUGUUUUAUUAAAUCAAUACGUAAACAAGACGCCAUAUUGUCCUUGUGAUGUCAUUCGCAAUGGUUUCUGGGAUAUUUGACAAUUACUGAAACGGCUCUAAACAACUAUCCACAUCUACAUAAAGCAGAACAUCUCUCCUCCAUUAUUAAACAUCUGAACCCUUGUGAGUCUCAAUCUGCAUCAUUCAUCAGACUGACUGACGCCAGCGCUUGACAUCUCUAAGGCAGAAAAUUCAUCUUGUUUGUAAAAUCACAUCUAGAGUCAGUCAAUGACGAUCUGCUGGGAUAUUUCCUGAAUGUACGGAGCUGUCAGUCAUCUUUAUACCUGACUCCUGCUUGUAAAGAGAUUUUUGACUCAUUAUGAAUGUGAUUAAACUGAGCUGUAAAACACAGACGAGAUGUAAAACUAUCUGGACUCAUCCGAGUUUCUCUCACGCUGUUUAAGAUUCAUUAUGCAUGAAGAUGAUAAAUGACAAACUUUGGAUUAAAUCAGACACUAUUGCGCCGUUAAUUACCAUCGUUUAAAAAGAAAAUCACGCGGCCAAAUGAACCUCAUGUGUUUAUAUUCAUAAGAAUCUCAG